UACAGAGGUCCCAAGCGUUGUUCGGAUUUACUGGGCGUAAAGGGUGCGUAGGUGGCGAGGUAAGUUUGAUGUGAAAUCUCCGAGCUCAACUCGGAAAUGGCAUUGAAUACUAUCCCGCUUGAGGGUCGGAGGGGAGACUGGAAUUCUCGGUGUAGCAGUGAAAUGCGUAGAUAUCGAGAGGAACACCAGUGGCGAAGGCGAGUCUCUGGACGACUCCUGACACUGAGGCACGAAAGCUAGGGGAGCAAACAGG
rnacentral:rRNA from 1 species